AAAAAUCCUUUGAGUUUCUUCAAGAACUAUGAGUUUCUAACUCUCUCUACUUCUCUCUCGAAAAUCCUUUUCUUUAUUAUGUCUUGAUUUUAGUAGAAUAGGGAAGGCAAGGAAGUGGCUUAUUUCAAAGUGAGUGUGCUCUGCACUUGCCUCUAUAAGGGGAUCUUGUGCAUCAGAAAGCUCCAAAAAUAUGACAUAUUUCAGAGUAAGUAUGCUCUGCACUUGCCUCGACAAGAAGAUCCUGUGCAUCAGAAAACUUCGAAAAUGAUUCUUGAAUACCAUGUUGUGCCCAUGAGAAGGAACAAUGCAACAUUAGCAUACCUAGAUUUUAAGGUGCUCUUAGUGAGCUAGACUGUCAUGUUGUUAUAAUCUUGUGUUGCAGAUAAUAGAAUAUAGUCUAGUGGAAUAAAAUUUAACUAUUUGUUGUUUUAAAUAUUCACUCUCAUACACACUUUAAAUUUUAUGUAUGAUAUUACUUUUUUUUAAGAAAUUUCUAUAUAAAUGUGAUUUUCAUUAUAU
rnacentral:lncRNA from 1 species